rnacentral:rRNA from 1 species
CCCUACGGGGGGCAGCAGUGAGGAAUAUUGGUCAACGGCCGAGAGGCUGAACCAGCCAAGUCGCGUGAGGGAAGACGGCCCUACGGGUUGUAAACCUCUUUUGUCGGGGAGCAAAGCGAACCACGUGUGGUUCAUUGAGAGUACCCGAAGAAAAAGCAUCGGCUAACUCCGUGCCAGCAGCCGCGGUAAUACGGAGGAUGCGAGCGUUAUCCGGAUUUAUUGGGCGUAAAGCGAGUGCAGGCGGUUCAAUAAGGCUGAUGGGACAGGCGUCGGCUCAACCGGCGGAUU